UUACCUGCGAGAUGAGAGGAUGCCGAUUAGUAUGUGCACUGUUGACGCACUGCUGCCGAACAAAGUCGCCAGUCAAUGUUACAGCGGUUUAAAUAGGUGCUGUAGGUGUCGCUGACGCUUGCGCAUGCGACGUUCCUAGUCAGGUGUAGAGCAGCAGCACCGAGCGAUGUCACCUUCCUGGUGCGGACGGUGAUCGUGCUUCAAAGAUAAUCGUCCCACUGCGAAAUGAGAGGAUGCCGAUUAGUAUGUGCACUGUUGACGCACUGCUG